AGUACGAUCGCAAGAUUAAAACUCAAAGGAAUUGACGGGGCCCCGCACAAGCAGCGGAGCAUGCGGCUUAAUUCGACGCAACGCGAAGAACCUUACCAAGGCUUGACAUAUAGCGAAAAGUGGCAGAGAUGUCAUGUCCGCAAGGGCGCUAUACAGGUGGUGCAUGGUUGUCGUCAGCUCGUGUCGUGAGAUGUUGGGUUAAGUCCCGCAACGAGCGCAACCCUCGUUCUGUGUUACCAGCAUUCAGUUGGGGACUCACAGGAGACUGCCGGGGUCAACUCGGAGGAAGGUGGGGAUGACGUCAAAUCAUCAUGCCCCUUAUGUCUUGGGCUGCACGCAUGCUACAAUGGCCGGUACAAAGUGCUGCGAGAUCGUAAGAUUGAGCGAAUCACAUAAAGCCGGUCUCAGUUCGGAUUGAGGUCUGCAACUCGACCUCAUGAAGUCGGAGUUGCUAGUAAUCGUAGAUCAGCAACGCUACGGUGAAUACGUUCCCGGGGCUUGUACACACCGCCCGUCACGUCACGAAAGUCGGUAACACCCAAAGUUAGUGGCCCAACCGCAAGGGGGGAGCUACCUAAGGUGGGAUCGGUGAUUGGGACG
rnacentral:rRNA from 1 species